AUUCCGCUCGAAGCUCUUCAUUGAACCAGAAUAGCUCCCGUCAGGAAAGUGAAGCCUGGUAGUGGAUGUGAUGAAGCACUGUUACAUCAAAGAGAAACGAAAAUAGAUUUUAUGAUAACAGGCAAUGAAGGACUCGGUGAAAAAUAAAAGUGCUAUUGACGGAGUAAGUGCAGAAAACGGCCAUCGUGGUAUUAGACAAAGGCAAAGAGCUUCACAAAGUGCUUCGAAACUCGUCCAGAACCAGAGGCAGUGAACACAGACUCGAUGAACCCUUGUCGGCCAUGCAGAGGCAAACGACCGAGCUCAUUGUGACCCUCGUGUUUGUGCCUCUCUGUGUGCUGGCCUGGCAUUCUGUGUGGACGUGGCGGUGUUGUCUACACCGGUGGUGGUGAUGGUGAUAGCGAUGGUGAAUGUGCGGGACUGUGGUGGUGGUGAUGAUGGUAUUUGCGGAUGUAGCAUCUAGAAAUCGUGGUGGUGAUGGUGGUUGUUAUGGUGUGCCACCGAAGUCCCGAGCGGCUUCGAGACAAGGAAGAGAAGCUACGCGGCUCACUUCUGCCAGUCAGUCAGUGCUGUGACACAAGGAGCAGCUGUCUCAGCGGAGAGACGGUGGACGGCGGAUGAAUACUUCGGCUCCCGCGCCUUCUUCCGCAUCAUGUCCGACCCGCCGAUCCUGGUGGUGGGCGGCGUGCGUCAGAGGAGUUGAAAAAUGUAUAGGACACGCUGCUGUGCUCUGCGUGUAGCUGUGAGGUGAGAGAAGACACAUCAUGUUGAGGGAAGGCAGCUGCACUAGUGACAGCAGCAGCAGAGCCCCACCACUGCUGCUGCUCCUCUCCUCUUCCCAGCACAGCAGCACACAGGACACAUUUCCAUCAUCUUUAAAUCCCGGACACUUGUGCCUUGGUGAUAAUCUCACAGCAGCAAACCCUACAUUGCUCAGGUCAACUUCCAGCUAGAAUCAUAAUAUCUGGAGUUAUUUUUCCACAAAGAAGGAUUCAAAAUAUCCCCCCCAAAAAAUAAGAUAUUUUUAGAAAUGAAAAUCCACUCGAAUUUUCUGCCUGAAGCUCUCGUUAAAAUGACUCCCUCUUGAAUCUUGUGUCCGACUCCAGCUGUGUCCAAGAGAAUGGAUCUCCAGUUUGUAGUGAGACUUCCGAGCCGCCCAGACCUGUGAAGGCGAGCAGUCUGUCAGAUAAUGAGAGUAGAGAACAUAAGCAACAUAAUGAGAGACAAAGUCACAAUAAUAGAGAUAAAAUGAAGGCACUCAAGUAUUAAUGAGAAAACAAAACAGAAUAAUAAGCAAAGUAAAAUAAUGAGACAGUAAGGCCAGUCAACAAAUAAUAGUGAAUUUACUGUAGGAAGGGUCUGCUGUACUACUUAAUGACCAUUCAAGUCUACUUGUUAAAGAUGUGUUUACACUUUGAAGUGUCAUUUUCUUGUACUAUGAUACAUUUUUUACUAUUUUCUUCCACCUGCCUUAAUUAACAUUGAGUAGAGUCUCACUAAUACAACUUGAAUAUUACUCAGUCACUAAUACAACUUGAAUAUUACUCAGCCGGCAGUCUUUGCCAUGGUGGAGUGUGACACUGAAUCAGUACUGACAUUUUAUCAUUUACAUUUCAUUACUUUGAUUACUCAACAAAAUACUGCAUUGUUUUUUGUAACCUGCUGACUGGUGAAGGGACAACGUGUGCUCCUCAACACUUGGUUCUUGCCACGUGCCGCAGCAGACUGACAGCUUCCAGUGGGCCUGUCUGAGGUAAUGCACCACACAACAUUAGGAAUAGGAACAAUUAUUUCACUAAAACUUUAAUUACCUGCACUAAAAACUUUCAAUGAGUUUAUGUACUUUGUGAAUUUAGGAAUCUGGAACAAUGAUUGCACUUAUUUAACUACCUGCACUAAAGUGUUUGCUUUAGUUAUGGUGUUGACAGUAAGUAUAAAUACUUUAAGGGGCGUGACCUCCGCCGCAUUGCUUCAGCAGCCUUCAAGUCCCGGCAAUGAAACGGUUCGUGUGAGGAAGACUGCUUCUGGUGCUACUGGUGGAAAUUGUUACUAGUGUCGUGGUGGCAGCACGGGCCUCGGCACUCCCUGGCACCACGGCAGGUGUCAGUGAGGCAGGCAGGUGUUGGUUCAAGUCCUGGCAGUGUCACUUCGCUGCUGUAUUGUUUGGUGCAGCGGAAAAUGCUACGUUUUUCAUCA